rnacentral:rRNA from 1 species
GAUGAACGCUGGCGGCGUGCCUAAUACAUGCAAGUCGAGCGAACAGACGAGGAGCUUGCUCCUCUGACGUUAGCGGCGGACGGGUGAGUAACACGUGGAUAACCUACCUAUAAGACUGGGAUAACUUCGGGAAACCGGAGCUAAUACCGGAUAAUAUAUUGAACCGCAUGGUUCAAUAGUGAAAGACGGUUUUGCUGUCACUUAUAGAUGGAUCCGCGCCGCAUUAGCUAGUUGGUAAGGUAACGGCUUACCAAGGCAACGAUGCGUAGCCGACCUGAGAGGGUGAUCGGCCACACGGGAAGUGAGACACGGUCCAGACUCCUACGGGAGGAAGCAGUAGGGAAUCUUCCGCAAUGGGCGAGAGCCUGACGGAGCAACGCCGCGUGAGUGAUGAAGGUCUUCGGAUCGUAAAACUCUGUUAUUAGGGAAGAACAAAUGUGUAAGUAACUAUGCACGUCUUGACGGUACCUAAUCAGAAAGCCACGGCUAACUACGUG